rnacentral:RNase_P_RNA from 1 species
ACAGGCAAGGGUGAAAAGGUGCGGUAAGGGCGCACCGCGCAUUUGGUAACAAUAUGCGGCAGGCCAAACCCCAUUCGGAGCAAGACCAAACAGAACGCAAUGACGCUGCCCGCCGAGCGUUCGGGUAGGUUGCUUGAGCAUACUGGUAACGGUAUGCCUAGAGGAAUGACUGUCCGAGACAGAACCCGGCUUACCGCCUGUCCGGUGUG